AUGAAAUUACACUAUGCUAGUACUAGUUUGUGUUUCUUAUAUAGCUCUACUAGAAUGCCAAAAAAACAAAAUCAAACCUCUAUCACAAAAAUGAAAGCAAGUUUAAUGAUCACACCUUUACUUCUAACUCUUGUUUUCUUCACACAACAAACUCUUGUUGAAUCCAAAACCUCAAAUCACUCUCAACACCAAAAUGAACAAGAGUUAACAUUUUAUAGAACAAGAAGAAACUUUGGAAGAAAAUGGAUACCAAAUUGUGACCCAUUCUACCUUUUUCUAUUUGAUUGUUGUGGCUAUUGGCCUUUCCCUACUUUC